rnacentral:rRNA from 1 species
AAAUUAAGUUUUUUAUUUUUAUAUUAAUUAUUAUUUUAAUUGAAAUAACUUUUUAUUUAGUAUUUUUUUUACAGAAAUAUUUAUUUUUAAUUAUAGAUGAUUUUACUGUGGGGGACUGUGAAUUUAAUUUUAUGAAGUAUAAUUUUUAUUAGUACCUUUUGUAUCAGGGUUUAUUAAUUAAUUAAUAUGUAUAUAUUAAUUCCCGAAAUUAUAAGAGUUAUCUUUAAAUGUUUCUUAUUAUGAUAAAAUUAUUUAUAAUUUAAAGAUGGGGGUUAUAUGCUAUUCAAUUUUAAUAUAUCUGGUUGCUUAAGAAAUGAAUUUAAUUCAUAAUUAUUAUGUUAAUUUUUAUUUUUAUUAAUUUUAAUAUAAUAAUUAAAAAUUGUGGGGGAUUAGCUCUAUAAUUUUCUUUAUAAGGAUUUUAUUUCAAUUAGUUUUUGUAGGCUUGAUAACAGCCAUCUAAAAUUUCAUUAUAGUUUACACUAAUUAUUUAUUUAUUUUAAGUCUUUUAUUUUUAUUAUUAAGUAUUAUUAUUUAAUUUUUUAUUAAUAGUUAUAAUGAUAGAAUUAGUAGUUUUUAUUAUUUAAGUAUAGUAAUUCGGCAAAUUUUAUCUUCGCCUGUUUAACAAAAACAUGUCUUAUAGAAAUUAAUUUUAAGUCUAGCCUGCUCAAUGAUUAACAAAUUAAAUAGCCGCAGUAUACUGACUGUGCAAAGGUAGCAUAAUCAUUUGUCUCUUAAUUGGAGGCUUGUAUGAAUGGUUGGACGAGGGAUAAACUUUCUUUACUUAAUUUUUAUUAAUUUAAUAUUUUAGUUAAAAAGCUAAAAUGUUUUUGUGGGACGAGAAGACCCUAUAGAAUUUUAUUAUUAAAUUAAUGGAUUUUAAAUUAAUCUGUUGAUUAAAUUUUUUAAUUUAAUAAUUUGAUUGGGGUGAUUAUGAAAUUUUAUUAACUUUUAUUUAUAAUUUAUUCAUUAAUUAUUGUUUUAUUAUUGAUCCUUUUUUAGGGAAUAAAAGAUUAAAUUACCUUAGGGAUAACAGCGUAAUUUUUUUUGAGAGUUCUUAUCGAUAAAGGAGUUUGCGACCUCGAUGUUGGAUUAAAGUUAAUUUUUGGUGUAGAAGCUGAAUAUAUUAGGUCUGUUCGACCUUUAAAUCUUUACAUGAUCUGAGUUCAGACCGGCGUGAGCCAGGUUGGUUUCUAUCUACAAUUAAUCUUGAUAUUCUAGUACGAAAGGACCGAAUAUUAAUAAUAUUUAUUUAUAUUUGAUUUAUAUUAA